UAGCUAUUCCAGUUGACGCCAUUUUACACUAAGGACGACAACUCUCGCUGACUACCUGACGGCCAUAUUGGAUGAGAUUGUGGGUCAGUGCAGACGGGUUCACAUAUCAUCUGUGAAAGUGGCAGUUACUCUGAAAGAAUUUUCCAUACAAGGUUCUGUACUGGAAUGAUACCGAGAAGACGGACAGCAGCAUAUUUGAGCUAACAGAAAGAGAAAUCAAUACAGACAUCAAAGAAGGGAAUUUAUUUUUCAAAGACACAGGAGCAAAAUUGGAUCACAGUUAUAGCACAUUUUGAAGCAGACUAUAAGGUGGAAUAGCUACUUA